UAGCUGUUGUUCUGCCAAGAGCAUCGCAGCGUAGCUAAGUUUGGAAAGGAUAAACGCUGAAAGCAUCUAAGCGUGAAGCCAACUCUAAGAUGAAUCUUCUCUAAGCUCUCUAGAAGACUACUAGUUUGAUAGGCUGGGUGUGUAAUGGAUGAAAGUCCUUUAGCUGACCAGUACUAAUAGAGCGUUUGGCUUAUCUUU
rnacentral:rRNA from 1 species